CCUGAGUCAGGCCACGCCCACACCUGAGUCAGGCCACGCCCACACCUGAGUCAGGCCACGCCCACACCUGAGUCUGGACUUUAAACAUCGAUUAUCGUCUCGCCUGAAGUUACAGAAGCUUCACCUGCAGAUUCUAAAUGGGGACGAUAAACUCCAGGGAACGUCCUCCACACUUCAGGACACCACUACCACAACUACCACCUUCAGGAAGAAGAGUCCAAAUGGAGGAUCAGAAAUCUAGAAACGCUUCGACAUCUUCACCAACCAGCGUGGUGUCUACAUCCAGCAGGGGAGCAGAAUCCCGGUGGAGGUUUGGAUGCAUCUUGAGCUGAAGAUAUUAACUGACUUCUCAUAUUCUUCUAAUGUGAGCUAAUAAUUCCCCCUUCACAUGAGCAGCCUUAACCCCCCCCUUAUGCUGCUCGUGCUCGUGUAACCAGGGCCUUCCCAACUGAAUAAAAAGAGGAGACGAGGCAGAGACGGACAGAGAUGUUUGGGGUGUUGGGACUGCACGUUCUCUGACUUCUCUCCUCGCGGGUUUUUAACCUGAA